AGAGUUUGAUUAUGGCUCAGGAUGAACGCUAGCGAUAGGCCUAACACAUGCAAGUCGAGGGGCAGCACAUGAAGUAGCAAUACGGAUGGUGGCGACCGGCGCACGGGUGAGUAACGCGUAUGCAACCUGCCUACAACAGGGGAAUAACCCGUUGAAAGACGGACUAAUACCCCAUAACACAGGGAUCCCGCAUGGGAAUAUUUGUUAAAGAUUUAUCGGUUGUAGAUGGGCAUGCGUUCCAUUAGCUGGUUGGUGAGGUAACGGCUCACCAAGGCAACGAUGGAUAGGGGAACUGAGAGGUUUAUCCCCCACACUGGUACUGAGACACGGACCAGACUCCUACGGGAGGCAGCAGUGAGGAAUAUUGGUCAAUGGACGCAAGUCUGAACCAGCCACGUCGCGUGAAGGAAGACGGCCCUACGGGUUGUAAACUUCUUUUGUAAGGGAAUAAAGUGUAGUACGUGUACUAUUUUGCAUGUACCUUACGAAUAAGGAUCGGCUAACUCCGUGCCAGCAGCCGCGGUAAUACGGAGGAUCCGAGCGUUAUGCGGAUUUAUUGGGUUUAAAGGGUGCGCAGGCGGGAGAUUAAGUCGGCGGUGAAAUUCUGCAGCUCAACUGUAAAAGUGCCUUCGAAACUGGUUUCCUUGAGUGUGGAUGAAGUAGGCGGAAUUUGUGGUGUAGCGGUGAAAUGCAUAGAUAUCACGAGGAACUCCGAUUGCGCAGGCAGCUUACUAAACCAUAACUGACGCUCAGGCACGAAGGCGUGGGGAUCAAACAGGAUUAGAUACCCUGGUAGUC
rnacentral:rRNA from 1 species